GUUUGGUUGUCAGUAUAUCAGUGGUUUCUUUUUCAGUACAUUCCAAAUUGUUAUGCUGGCUAUGCCCAAUGCUUUUGCAAUGUAUUGAGCAUUUUAUCUAUAAAAAUAUAGAAUUAUAUUUUUACAUUAUGAGCAUGAGUAAAUGUGCAGGGUAUCGGUUUCGAUUGAGUCCAAAUAUUAGUUGGACCAUUCAUACAAGAGCAGCUACUCAAGCUACUCUAGAACAAAAGCACUGAUCUCUAAACAAUCCACUACAUUCUCUCACUGGAUAAAAUGUCACAUGCAUUUUUGCAAGAGAUACAAUCAGCUGUACACUGUGGAAACCAGUUAAGAUCCAGCAGAUAGUAGAGAGAAAUAGUUGGUAUAUAUUGUAACCGUAGUUUUGACAGGUAUAGGUCAAAGGUCAAAAAGAUACACAUUCUAACUCUCUAUAUCUAGAUCAAAGGUUAUGAUCAUAAAAAUAUUAAUAGUUAUGUUAAAUCUGUAUCACAUCCAUUCGUUACCAUACAUGGUGCGGCCAUGUGUUUUCCGCCCCACACACGUUGCACACAUGGUCCUUCUAACACUCUGUGGUAGGUCAUAAAAAUAUGAAUAGUUAUGUUAAAUCUGGUUCACAUCCAUUCGUGACCAUACCUGGUACGGCCAUGUGUUUUCCGCCCCACACACGUUGCACACAUGGUCCUUCUAACACUCUGUGGUAGGUCAUAAAAAUAUAUAUAGUUAUGUUAAAUCUGGUUCACAUCCAUUCGUUACCAUACGUGGUGCGGCCAUGUGUUUUCCACACACACAAGUUGCACACACAUGUUCUUUCUUUUCACAUAGAAUAUGAAACUCUCUGAGGUAGGUCAUAAAAAUAUAUAUAGUUAUGUUAAAUCUGGUUCACAUCCAUUCGUGACAGAAACGUUACCAUACAUGGUACGGCCAUGUGUAUCCCACAUCCAAACAAAAAUAUCACACACACACACACACACACACACACAAACACACACGUGCACGUACAGACAAACGCAUGCAUACGAACCUGC
ensembl:lncRNA